CCUACGAGAGGCAGCAGUAGGGAAUCUUCCACAAUGGACGAAAGUCUGAUGGAGCAACGCCGCGUGAGUGAAGAAGGGUUUCGGCUCGUAAAACUCUGUUGUUAAAGAAGAACAUAUCUGAGAGUAACUGUUCAGGUAUUGACGGUAUUUAACCAGAAAGCCACGGCUAACUACGUGCCAGCAGCCGCGGUAAUACGUAGGUGGCAAGCGUUGUCCGGAUUUAUUGGGCGUAAAGCGAGCGCAGGCGGUUUUUUAAGUCUGAUGUGAAAGCCUUCGGCUCAACCGAAGAAGUGCAUCGGAAACUGGGAAACUUGAGUGCAGAAGAGGACAGUGGAACUCCAUGUGUAGCGGUGAAAUGCGUAGAUAUAUGGAAGAACACCAGUGGCGAAGGCGGCUGUCUGGUCUGUAACUGACGCUGAGGCUCGAAAGUAUGGGUAGCAAACAGGAUUAGAUACCCCAGUAGUC
rnacentral:rRNA from 1 species